GAUGAACGCUAGCGGCAGGCCUAACACAUGCAAGUCGAGGGAGAAGCCCUUCGGGGCGGAAACCGGCGCACGGGUGCGUAACGCGUAUGCAACCUACCUUUCACAGGGGGAUAGCCCGAAGAAAUUUGGAUUAAUACCCCAUAAUAUUGUUGGAUGGCAUCAUUUGGCAAUUAAAACUGAGGUGGUGAAAGAUGGGCAUGCGUCCUAUUAGCUAGUUGGAGUGGUAACGGCACCCCAAGGCUACGAUAGGUAGGGGUCCUGAGAGGGAGAUCCCCCACACUUGUACUGAGACAGGGACCAGACUCCUACGGGAGGCAGCAGUGAGGAAUAUUGGUCAAUGGUCGGAAGACUGAACCAGCCAUGCCGCGUGCAGGAAGAAUGCCUUAUGGGUUGUAAACCGCUUUUAUAUGGGAAGAAUAAGGUGUACGUGUACAUUGAUGACGGUACCAUAGAAUAAGCUCGGCUAUCUC
rnacentral:rRNA from 1 species